UGGGGAAUUUUGGACAAUGGGCGAAAGCCUGAUCCAGCAAUGCCGCGUGUGUGAAGAAGGCCUUCGGGUUGUAAAGCACUUUUGUCCGGAAAGAAAUCCUUGGCUCUAAUACAGUCGGGGGAUGACGGUACCGGAAGAAUAAGCACCGGCUAACUACGUGCCAGCAGCCGCGGUAAUACGUAGGGUGCAAGCGUUAAUCGGAAUUACUGGGCGUAAAGCGUGCGCAGGCGGUUUGCUAAGACCGAUGUGAAAUCCCCGGGCUCAACCUGGGAACUGCAUUGGUGACUGGCAGGCUAGAGUAUGGCAGAGGGGGGUAGAAUUCCACGUGUAGCAGUGAAAUGCGUAGAGAUGUGGAGGAAUACCGAUGGCGAAGGCAGCCCCCUGGGCCAAUACUGACGCUCAUGCACGAAAGCGUGGGGAGCAAACAGGAUUAGAUACCCUGGUAGUCCACGCCCUAAACGAUGUCAACUAGUUGUUGGGGAUUCAUUUCCUUAGUAACGUAGCUAACGCGUGAAGUUGACCGCCUGGGGAGUACGGUCGCAAGAUUAAAACUUAAAUGAAUUGACGGGGUCAUAGCUGUUU
rnacentral:rRNA from 1 species